AUUGGGCCCGACGUCGCAUGCUCCCGGCCGCCAUGGCGGCCGCGGGAAUUCGAUUAGAGUUUGAUCAUGGCUCAGAACGAACGCUGGCGGCAUGCCUAAUACAUGCAAGUCGAACGAUCACUUCGGUGGUAGUGGCGCACGGGUGCGUAACGCGUGGGAAUCUGCCCUUGGGUUCGGAAUAACUUCGGGAAACUGAAGCUAAUACCGGAUGAUGACGUAAGUCCAAAGAUUUAUCGCCCAAGGAUGAGCCCGCGUAGGAUUAGCUAGUUGGUGGGGUAAAGGCUCACCAAGGCAACGAUCCUUAGCUGGUCUGAGAGGAUGAUCAGCCACACUGGGACUGAGACACGGCCCAGACUCCUACGGGAGGCAGCAGUAGGGAAUAUUGGACAAUGGGCGAAAGCCUGAUCCAGCAAUGCCGCGUGAGUGAUGAAGGCCUUAGGGUUGUAAAGCUCUUUUACCCGAGAUGAUAAUGACAGUAUCGGGAGAAUAAGCUCCGGCUAACUCCGUGCCAGCAGCCGCGGAAUACGAAUCACUAGUGAAUUCGCGGCCGCCUGCAGGUCGACCAUAUGGGAGAGCUCCCAA
rnacentral:rRNA from 1 species